UUGUUUACAUGUAAGAUGCCGUUUACCUUAUCUUUUGUAAUAAGUUGAGUUUGAAGCUGUAUUUAUUUCAGAUUUUCGGUCUAUAAUUUAACUGCAUUCUAUCAGAGCGUGAUAUUUAUUUGUGUCACGGACAACCGUUGGCUGUUUGCCUUCAUGUCGUUCGAACAGAGUAAAGUACAUUGUUUUUUCUAAAAAUCAGAUAAUGAAAAAUAUUAAGUUUCAUAUAACGAUAUGUUCAACGAGCCAAGAGAAAUACCGCCUAUAGUUUAACAUGCCCUGGUCUAUUAUUGACAGAUAUGCGGGGACGACCAACGUUGGCGGGUACUUUAGACAACCGAUGGCCUGGCAGUGCCGGGUGAAUAGUGUGGUUUUAUCUUCGCGCAAAAUAUAGCUGGAAUGGACCUUACCUAGGGUUCCCGGGAUGUGGGAGCCUUUGAUUUGGUUUGACCAUUAGUUCUUCGCUGCAGGGCGUAAUUUUACCUUGGAUAGGCUGGACCGAAAGUCAAAGUCCCCACUAUUCCCCAGACCUGGGUUGUGGUAACAAUUAACUGCAAUAGUGACUUCAACUUUGAAGAAGAAGGAUCAUUGAGGAACUUCAUUAAAGCUGCCUGCAAUGUGACAAGAUACAUCCGACAACUAACUUGGGACAGGUGGACACCGUCAGAAGAGUAGAAACCAGGCGUUCUGCAAUCAAUACUAGAGACAACUAUCCGACCAAUAUGACUGCUACAAACAGCCUGUCGACCCAAACGAUUUGCACGUUUUAUCUUUAAAUCCAUUGGCGUCGCAGAGGCAUCAUCCACCUCCCUCCAAUGCAAAUUUGGGAUGAUAUCAAACAAAGCUAAUAAUGCAGUAGGGAAAACGCUACGUAUAUAUUUUAAAUCUGAAAAGACAUGCGCUUUGAAUUCACCUAGCCCCAUAGAUGACAGAUCAUUGCCGCCCAAAUUGAUCACAAUAAUGCGCGGUGCCUUGCGUGACAUGGUCUGAAGUUGAAAUUUCGGCAACAAACUUUUCCAUUGCUUCCCAGGGAACCCCAGCCACAGUAUAUUAAAGCCAUCGACCUUCAGACAGCGUCCACCUGACCCGAUAAGGGCCUAACCCGUUCGAGCCACCAGUGAGGCGCCAAUUAUCCAAAUAUAUGUAAGAACAUCAUUUAAUUAGCUGUUAUGGACUCCUUUCUUCAAGUGUUUGGCAAUUUUCCUUAACAAAAUCGACAGAAGAGAUCUGUUUCAAAUCCCAAUGACGAUCUCCUGUCUCGAGGAUUUAAGGUUUUAGUGAGCAACAAUGGCAAGGAUUUCAGCGACGAAGACACUCUUAUCACCUUUGACUCCACAUGUGUAAACUGCACGAAAGCAGACGGAAAAGUUAAUUGUGAAAUCCAGAGUGGUUUCUGUCUCAAUGACGGACGUUGUUAUAGCGAAGGAUCUACUAUCGGGUGCUACAAAUGCCAACAUGAAGACAAUAAAAUAUACGAAUGGGUUGGCAACGGGGAAUGCGGCCCCAUACCAGAACCUCAGAAAUCAAAGUUAUGGAUCAUUGGCGCAACACUUGGACCUAUCGGGGCCGUUUGGUUUUAUUGUAUUCAUAGUUUUCUACUUCAUGAAAGGAAAAGGACAAAAAUCGAAAAUGGGGUCCGUUAGUCCAAUAUACGGCCAGCACCAGAAAUAACCACUUUUCAACGACGACGACUUAAAUUUGUGGUCUGUAACCAGAAAUAAUUUGUUUACAUUCAAUUAUGUAUUUGAAACCAUUUUUCUUAAAAACAUAAAACAUAUAAACGUGUUGUAUCGCGAAUUAAAUGUGACAUUGUCUGAUAGUAAAGCAACAUUUGUGAUUAUUUUUAUAUUCUGCAAGAUUAUCUUAUGUAUCUGCAAAUCGUAUAAUAUUGUAUGCGUGUAUGUUGUGUAUGCUUCGUCUUUGUUGAUAGUGAAGAGACGAUGGAACCAAUAAAUAUAUAUCGCUUUGUA